UCACUUAUAAAAGAGCAUUCAGCUCACUUGUCUAUGUCGCUUAAAAAGAGCUCAAAGCUCAUGUGUCCAUGUCCCUUAUAAAAGAGCAUGAAGCGCACGUGUCUCUGUGGCCUAUAAAAGAGCUUAAAGCUCACUUCUCCCUGUUGCUUAUCAAAGAGCUUAAAAGUUACUUGUCCCUCCCCAUUUGUAAAUGUCCCUGACGUUUAUAAAAUUGCAUAUAGCUCAUGUGUCCUUGAUGCUUGUAAAAGAGCUUAAAGCUCACGUGUCUAUAUCGCUUAUAAAAGAGCUUAAGGCUCAUGUGUCUCUAUUGCUUAAGGCUCAUGUGUCCCUAUUGUUUAUAAAAGAGCUUAACGGUCACACGUCUCUCUUGCUUAUAAAAGAGCUUAAUGCUCAUUUAUCCUAAUGAUUAUGAAGUAGCACAAUGCUUAUGAAAGAACUUGCUCAAAUGUCCAUGUUGGUUAUGAAAAGCGUCUAAUGCUCAGGUAUCACUCAUAGCUUGAUUCUCACAUGUCCCUACUGCUUAUGAAAGAGCUUAAAGCUCACUUAUCGUGUGGCUUAUGAAAGAGCCUAAAGCUCACUUGCCCUUGUUACUUAUAAAGAGCAUAAAGCUCACUUGCCCAUGCUGCUUAUUGAAAACUUAAAGCUCACUUGUCCCUGUCAUUUGUAAAAGAACUUAAAGCUCACUUAUCCUCAUUGUUAAUUGAAGAGCUUAAAGCAUAAAGCUCACUUGUCCCUGCUGCAUAUUAAACAGCAUAAAGCUCGCGUGUCCCUAUGGCUUAUAGAAAAGCUUGAAGGUUAGUUGUCCCAGUCUCUUAUAGAAGAGUUUAAAGCUCACGCUCCCUGUUGCUUAUAAAAGAGAUUAAAAUAAUCUUGUCCAUGUCCCUAAUAGAACAACUUAAAGCUCACAUAAAAGAGCAUGUAGCUCACGUGUCCAUAUGGAUAUAAAAUAGCAUAAAGCUCAACGUUUCCUUCCCAUUUAUGAAAAAGCUUAGAGGUCACUUGUCCCUCUCGCUUAUAAAAGGGCUUAAAGCUCACGGGUCCCUGUUGUUUAAUAUAAGAGCUUAAAGCUCACUUUUCUCUGCCACUCGUAAAAGACCAUAAAGCUUACUUGCUCCUGCCGCUUAUAAAAGAGCGUAAAGCUCACUUGUCCCUGUCAUUUAUGAAAGAGUUUUAACGCUCACUUGUUCCCAUCAUUAAUUAAAGAGCUUGAAGCAUAACGCUCACUUGUCCCUGCUGCUUAUUAAAGAGCAUAAAGCCCACUUGUCCCUCUGGCUUAUGGAAAAGCUUAAAGGUUGCUUGUCCCUGUCUCCUAUAGAAGAGUUUAAAGCUCAUGUGUCCAUGUUGCUUAUAAAAGAGAUUAAUAUAAACUUGUCCAUGUCCCUACUAAAAUAACUUAAAGCUCACAUAAAAGAGCAUGACGCUCACGUGUCCCGAUGUUGAUUAUAAAAGAGCUUAAAGCUCACUUGUCCUCGUCGCUUGCAAAAGAGCUAAAGCUCACUUGUCCCCCCUCCCCCCGCGCUUAUAAAAGAACUUAAAAGCUCACUUGUCUCUGCCGCUUAUAGAAGAGCUCAAAGUUCUGGGGUCUGUGUAUAUAAAAGAGCUUAAAGCUCAUGUGUCCCGGUUGCUUAUAAAAGAGCUUAAAGCUCACUUGUCCCUCUCGUUUAUAAAAAAGAGCAUAAAGGUCACAUGUCUUUAUCGCUUCUUAAAGAGCUUAAAGCUCACUUGUCCCUAUGGCUUAUAAAAGAGCUUGAAGCUCAUUCGUCCUGCUGCUUAUAAAAGAGUAGGAAGCUCACGUGUCAAUGUGGCUCAUAAAAGAGCUUAAAGUUUGCUUGUCUCUGUAGCUUAUAAAAGGGCUUAAAGCUGAAAGCUCAUGUGUCCUAUUGGCUUAUAAAAGAGUUUAAAGCUCACGUGUCCCUUCUGUUCAUAAAAGAGUUUAGUGCUCAUGUGUCCCUCUUACUUACAAAAGAGCGCAAUGCUCAUGUGUCACUCCUAAGCAAGAGCUUAAUGCUCACAUGUCCCUGGUGCUUAUAAAAGAGCUUAAAGCUCAUGUGUCCCGGUUGCUUAUAAAAGUGCUUAACACUCACGUGUCCUUGCUUAAGAAAGAGUUUAAUGCUCAUAACCCAAUGAUUACGAAAUAGCUUGAUGAUCAUGUGUGAAAGCGCUUAAUGCUCAAAUGUCCCUGUUGCUUAUCUAAAAACUUUCUCGAGUGUCCCUGUUGCAUAUGAAAAGAGCUUAAUGCGCACGUAUCCCUCAGAGCUGAUGCUCACAUGUCCCUCAUGUGUCCCUGUGGCAUAUGAAAGAGCUUACAGCUCACUUGUCCCUAUCAAUUAUAAAAGUGCUUAAAGCUCACUUGUGCCUAUUCCUUAUUAAAGCGCCUAAAGCUUACGUGUUCCCUGUUGCUGAUAAAAGAGUUUCAAGUUUACUUGCCCCCAUCGCUUAUAAAAGAGCUUAAAGCUCACAUAAAAUAGCAUGAAGCUCACUUGUCCUUGUGAAUUAUAAAAGAGUUUAGAGCUCACUUGUCGGUGUCGCUUAUAAAAGAGCUUAAAGCUCACUUGUCCCUCCCACUUAUACAAGAGCAUAAAGCUCACGUGUCCUGGUUGCUUGUAAAAUAGCUUAUAGCUGACUUGUCCCUCUCUCUCGCUCUCUUAUAAAAGAGCUUAAACCUCACGUCUCCCUGUCACUUAUGAAAGAGCAUUCAGCUCACUUGUCUAUGUCACUUAUAAAGAGCUCAAAGCUCAUGUGUCUAUGUCCCUUAUAAAAGAGCAUGAAGCGCACGUGUCUCUGUGGCCUAUAAAAGAGCUUAAAGCUCACUUCUCCCUGUUGCUUAUCAAAGAGCUUAAAAGUUACUUGUCCCUCCCCAUUUGUAAAUGUCCCUGUCGUUUAUAAAAUUGCAUAUAGCUCAUGUGUCCUUGAUGCUUGUAAAAGAGCUUAAAGCUCACGUGUCUAUAUCGCUUAUAAAAGAGCUUAAAGCUCUAUAUCGCUUAUAAAAGGCUUAAAGCUCAUGUGUCUCUAUUGCUAAGGCUCAUGUGUCCCUAUUGUUUAUAAAAGAGCUUAACGGCACAGUUACUCUUGCUUAUAAAAGAGCUUAAUGCUCAUUUAUCCUAAUGAUUAUGAAGUAGCACAAUGCUUAUGAAAGAACUUGCUCAAAUGUCCAUGUUGCUUAUGAAAAGCGUCUAAUGCUCAGGUAUCACUCAUAGCUUGAUUCUCACAUGUCCCUACUGCUUAUGAAAGAGCUUAAAGCUCACUUAUCGUGUGGCUUAUGAAAGAGCCUAAAGCUCACUUGCCCUUGUUACUUAUAAAAUAGCAUAAAGCUCACUUGCCCAUGCUGCUUAUUGAAAAACUUUAAAGCUCACUUGUCCCUGUCAUUUGUAAAAGAACUUAAAGCUCACUUAUCCUCAUUGUUAAUUGAAGAGCUUAAAGAUAAAGCUCACUUAGGUCCCUCUGCAUAUUAAACACUAAAGCUCGCGUGUCCCUAUGGCUUAUAGAAAGCUUGAAGGUUAGUUGUCCCAGUCUCUUAUAAAAGAGUUUAAAGCUGACGCUCCCUGUUGCUUAUAAAAGAGAUUAAAAUAAUCUUGUCCAUGUCCCUAAUAGAACAUCUUAAAGUCACAUAAAAGAGAUGAGCUCACGUGUCCAUAUGGAUAUAAAAUAGCAUAAAGCUCAACGUUUCCUUCCCAUUUAUGAAAAAGCUUAGAGGUCACUUGUCUCUCUCGCUUAUAAAAGGGCUUAAAGCUCACGGGUCCCUGUUGUUUAAUAUAAGAGCUUAAAGUUCACCUUUCUCUGCCACUCGUAAAAGACCGUAAAGCUUACUUGCUCCUGCCGCUUAUAAAAGAGCGUAAAACUCACUUGUCCCUGUCAUUUAUGAAAGAGUUUUAACGAUCACUUGUUCCCAUCAUUAAUUAAAGAGCUUGAAGCAUAACGCUCACUUGUCCCUGCUGCUUAUUAAACAACAUAAAGCCCACUUGUCCCUCUGGCUUAUGGAAAAGCUUAAAGGUUGCUCGUCCCUGUCUCCUAUAGAAGAGUUUAAAGCUCAUGUGUCCAUGUUGCUACUAAAAUAACUUAAAGCUCACAUAACAGAGCAUGACGCUCACAUAUCCCGAUGUUGAUUAUAAAAGAGCUUAAAGCUCACUUGUCCUCGUCGCUUGCAAAAGAGCUUAAAGCUCACUUGUCCUCGUCGCUUGCAAAAGAGCUAAAGCUCACUUGUCCCCCAACGCCCCCGCUUAUAAAGAGCUUAAAAGCUCACUGUCUCUGCGCUUAUAAAGAGUUAAAGUUCUGGGGUCUGUAUAAAAGAGCUUAAAGCUCACUUGUCCCCUCGUUUAUAAAAAAGAGCAUAAAGGUCACAUGUCUUUAUCGCUUCUUAAAGAGCUUAAAGCUACUUGUCCCUAUGGCUUAUAAAAGAGCUUGAAGCUCAUUCGUCCUGCUGUUAAAAGAGUAUGAAGUUCACGUGUCCCUGUGGCUCAUAAAAGAGCUUAAACUUUGCUUCUCCCUGUAGCUUAUAAGGCGUAAAGAACUAUGUCAGUGUUCCUAUGGUAUAAAGUUUAAAGCUCACGUGUCCCUUCUGUUCACAGAAGAGUUUAGUGCUCAUGUGUCCCUCUUACUUACAAAAGAGCGCAAUGCUCAUGUGUCACUCCUAAGCAAGAGCUUAAUGCUCACAUGUCCCUGGUGCUUAUAAAAGAGCUUAAAGCUCAUGUGUCCCGGUUGCUUAUAAAAGUGCUUAAGACUCACGUGUCCUUGCUUAAAAUGCUCAUAACCCAAUGAUUACGAAAUAGCUUGAUGAUCAUGUGUGAAAGCGCUUGAUGCUCAAAUGUCCCUGUUGCUUAUCUAAAAACUUUCUCGAGUGUCCCUGUUGCAUAUGAAAAGAGCUUAAUGCGCACGUAUCCCUCAGAGCUGAUGCUCACAUGUCCCUCAUGUGUCCCUGUGGCAUAUGAAAGAGCUUACAGCUCACUUGUCCCUAUCAAUUAUAACAGAGCUUAAAGCUCACUUGUCCCUAUUCCUUAUUAAAGCGCCUAAAGCUUACGUGUUCCGUGUUGCUUAUAAAAGAGUUUCAAGUUUACUUGCCCCCAUCACUUAUAAAAGAGCUUAAAGCUCACAUAAAAUAGCAUGAAGCUCACUUGUCCUUGUGAAUUAUAAAAGAGUUUAGAGCUCACUUGUCGGUGUCGCUUAUAAAAGAGCUUAAAGCUCACUUGUCCCUACUUAUACAAGAGCAUAAAGCUACGUGUCCUGGUUGCUUGUAAAUAGCUUAUAGAUUCCUCUCUCUCUCUUAUAAAAGAGCUUAAACCUCACGUCUCCCUGUCACUUAUAAAAGAGCAUUCAGCUCACUUGUCUAUGUCUUAAAAGAGCUCAAAGCUCAUGUGUCCAUGUCCCUUAUAAAAGAGCAUGAAGCGCACGUGUCUCUGUGGCCUAUAAAAGAGCUUAAAGCUCACUUCUCCCUGUUGCUUAUCAAAGAGCUUAAAAGUUACUUGUCCCUCCCCAUUUGUAAAUGUCCCUGCGUUUAUAAAAUUGCAUAUAGCUCAUGUGUCCUUGAUGCUUGUAAAAGAGCUUAAAGCUCACGUGUCUAUAUCGCUUAUAAAAGAGCUUAAGGCUCAUGUGUCUCUAGCUUAAGGCUCAUUUGUAAAAAAGAGCUUAACGGCACAUGUUCUCUUGCUUAUAAAAGAGCUUAAUGCUCAUAUCCUAAUGAUUAUGAAGUAGCACAAUGCUUAUGAAAGAAUUGCUCAAAUGUCCAUGUUGCUUAUGAAAAGCGUCUAAUGCUCAGGUAUCACUCAUAGCUUGAUUCUACAUGUCCCUACUGCUUAUAAAGAGCUUAAGCUCACUUAUCGUGUGGCUUAUGAAAGAGCCUAAAGCUCACUUGCCCUUGUUACUUAUAAAAAGCAUAAAGCUCACUUGCCCAUGCUGCUUAUUGAAAAACUUAAAGCUCACUUGUCCCUGUCAUUUGUAAAAGAACUUAACUCACUUAUCCUCAUGUUAAUUGAAGAGUUAAAGCAUAAAGCUCACUUGUCCCUCUGCAUAUUAAACAGCAUAAAGCUCGCGUGUCCCUAUGGCUUAUAGAAAAGCUUGAAGGUUAGUUGUCCCAGUCUCUUAUAGAAGAGUUUAAAGCUCACGUCCUGUUGCUUAUAAAAGAGAUUAAAAUAAUCUUGUCCAUGCCCUAAUAGAACAACUUAAAGCUCACAUAAAAGAGCAUGUAGCUCACGUGUCCAUAUGGAUAUAAAAUAGCAUAAAGCAACUUUCUUCCCAUUUAUGAAAAAGCUUAAGGUCACUUGUCCCUCUCGCUUAUAAAAGGGCUUAAAGCUCACGGUCCUGUUGUUAAUAUAAGAGCUUAAAGCUCACUUUUCUCUGCCACUCGUAAGACCAUAAAGCUUACUUGUCUGCCGCUUAUAAAAGAGCGUAAACUCACUUGUCCUGUCAUUUAUGAAAGAGUUUUAACGCUCACUUGUUCCCAUCAUUAAUUAAGAGCUUGAAGCAUAACGUCACUGUCCACUGCUUAUUAAAGAGCAUAAAGCCCACUUGUCCCUAUGGCUUAUGGAAAAGCUUAAAGGUUGCUUGUCCCUGUCUCCUAUAGA
rnacentral:lncRNA from 1 species